rnacentral:rRNA from 1 species
AUUGAACGCUGGCGGCAGGCCUAACACAUGCAAGUCGAACGAGUGGCGGACGGGUGAGUAAUGUCUGGGAAACUGCCUGAUGGAGGGGGAUAACUACUGGAAACGGUAGCUAAUACCGCAUACCAUCGGAUGUGCCCAGAUGGGAUUAGCUUGUUGGUGGGGUAACGGCUCACCAAGGCGACGAUCCCGAGCUGGUCUGAGAGGAUGACCAGCCCCACUGGGAGUGGGACACGGUCCAGACUCCUACGGGAGGCAGCAGUGGGGAAUAUUGCGCAAUGGGCGCAAGCCUGAUGCAGCCAGGCCGCGUGUGUGAAGAAGGCCUUCGGGUUGUAAAACGCUUUCAGCGGGGAGGCGUUACCCACAGAUGAAGCACCGGCUAACUCCGUGCCAGCAGCCGCGGUAAUAC